rnacentral:rRNA from 1 species
UACGUAGGGUGCAAGCGUUAAUCGGAAUUACUGGGCGUAAAGCGUGCGCAGGCGGUUGUGCAAGACCGAUGUGAAAUCCCCGGGCUUAACCUGGGAAUGGCAUUGGUGACUGCACGGCUAGAGUGUGUCAGAGGGGGGGUAGAAUUCCACGUGUAGCAGUGAAAUGCGUAGAGAUGUGGAGGAAUACCGAUGGCGAAGGCAGCCCCCCUGGGAUAACACUGACGCUCAUGCACGAAAAGCGUGGGGGAGCAAACAGG